rnacentral:rRNA from 1 species
AGGACGAACGCUGGCGGCGUGCUUAACACAUGCAAGUCGAGCGGAAAGGCCCUUCGGGGUACUCGAGCGGCGAACGGGUGAGUAACACGUGAGCAACCUGCCCUUAGCUUCGGGAUAGCUCCGGGAAACCGGAAUUAAUGCCGAAUAUGAUUUUUGCUGACAUCAGCAGAAGUGGAAAGUUUUUCGGCUAGGGAUGGACUCGCGGCCUAUCAGCUAGUUGGUGAGGUAACGGCCCACCAAGGCGACGACGGGUA